GCCCGGCCAGCCGCCCCGUCCGGGAGGUGAGGGGCGCCUCUGCCUGGCCGCCCCUACUGGGAAGUGAGGAGCCCCUCUGCCCGGCCAGCCGCCCCGUCCGGGAGGGAGGUGGGGGGGUCAGCCCCCCGCCAGGCCAGCCACCCCGUCCGGGAGGGAGGUGGGGGGGUCAGCCCCCCGCCUGGCCAGCCACCCGGUCCGGGAGCUGAGGGGCGCCUCUGCCCGGCCGCCCCUACUGGGAAGUGAGGAGCCCCUCUGCCCGGCCACCACCCUGUCUGGGAGGUGUACCCAACAGCUCAUUGAGAAUGGGCCAUGAUGACGAUGGCGGUUUUCUGGAAUAGAAAAGGGGGCAAGGUGGGGAAAAGAUUGAGAAAUCGGAUGGUUGCCGUGUCUGUGUAGAAAGAAGUAGACAUGGGAGACUUUUCAUUUUGUUCUGUACUAAGAAAAAUUCUUCUGCCUUGGGAUCCUGUUGAUCUAUGACCUUACCCCCAACCCUGUGCUCUCUGAAAUAUGUGCUGUGUCCACUCAGGGGUAAAUGGAUUAAGGGCGGUGCAAGAUGUGCUUUGUUAAACAGAUGCUUGAAGGCAGCAUGCUUGUUAAGAGUCAUUACCACUCCCUAAUCUCAAGUACCCAGGGACACAAACACUCUGCCUAGGAAAACCAGAGACCUUUGUUCACUUGUUUGUCUGCUGACCUUCCC
rnacentral:lncRNA from 1 species